rnacentral:rRNA from 1 species
ACUCCUACGGGAGGCAGCAGUGGGGAAUAUUGCACAAUGGGCGCAAGCCUGAUGCAGCAACGCCGCGUGAGGGACGAAGGCCUUCGGGUUGUAAACCUCUUUUAGUUGGGAAGAAGCGAAAGUGACGGUACCAGCAGAAAAAGCACCGGCUAACUACGUGCCAGCAGCCGCGGUAAUACGUAGGGUGCAAGCGUUAUCCGGAAUUAUUGGGCGUAAAGAGCUCGUAGGCGGUUUGUCGCGUCUGCCGUGAAAACUGGAGGCUCAACCUCCAGCCUGCGGUGGGUACGGGCAGACUAGAGUGCGGUAGGGGAGAUUGGAAUUCCUGGUGUAGCGGUGGAAUGCGCAGAUAUCAGGAGGAACACCAAUGGCGAAGGCAGAUCUCUGGGCCGUAACUGACGCUGAGGAGCGAAAGCAUGGGGAGCGAACAGGAUUAGAUACCCUGGUAGUCCAUGCCGUAAACGUUGGGAACUAGAUGUAGGGACCAUUCCACGGUUUCUGUGUCGCAGCUAACGCAUUAAGUUCCCCGCCUGGGGAGUACGGCCGCAAGGCUAAAACUCAAAGGAAUUGACGGGGGCCCGCACAAGCGGCGGAGCAUGCGGAUUAAUUCGAUGCAACGCGAAGAACCUUACCAAGGCUUGACAUAUACCGGAAAUGGCUAGAAAUAGUCCCCCCGCAAGGUCGGUAUACAGGUGGUGCAUGGUUGUCGUCAGCUCGUGUCGUGAGAUGUUGGGUUAAGUCCCGCAACGAGCGCAACCCUCGUUCUAUGUUGCCAGCACGUAAUGGUGGGAACUCAUAGGAGACUGCCGGGGUCAACUCGGA